CUAACAUUUUAAAUAUUUUGAUAAUUAGAUAUGUCUCAUUCCAGAGCCUUUCAAGAUAAUUUGAGAUUUCAUUUUCCUUAAUGAUGUGCAUAAAAAUAAACUGAGCUGUUAGAUGGGUAAAUGGGAUCUACAGCAGAAAAAACAAAAAAGAGAAAAUUGGCCGGAUUUUAUCUCUUUCAUCUGUCUCAAGCACUGGGGCUGCAUUACAUCUGGUGAGACUGGAGGGUUUACUGAUGCUUGGGAAAGACGAAUAUUUCAUACCUGUCCAUCUCUGCAAAUAAUCCACAAAAAUUUAAACCAGAAAGAAAACCAGCUGCUGCCGUUCAGCAAGAAGUCUAUUACGAAUCCCUAGGUGGCAUGGAAAGCAUUUAGACUCAUUUCAUUCACAUGUCAGCAAAGCAGAUCUACUCUGGGAAAUAUCCUCCAAGAUGUUCUCUACAUUCCGCCCAGUUACGAAGAAGAUUUUGUCUUAAUUGCACACCAAACAGGAAAAUGCAGCAUAAGCUCACAAGUUGGUAUUCACAAAAGUACUGACUUAUACACCCAGCCUCCACGUAUGGUGGGAUGUUACUGAAAAAAUAAAAGUCAUCUAUAUAUUCCGGGAGUGUAUUUCCAGUUUGUGACAGUGGGAAGUCUGGGAUGAGAAUUGCAGAGGGCAGGAUCAUCCUUAACUAACUCAGACUUUUCCCUGCAUCACCCUCUGUCUAUGAGUAGGACAACACCCAACAGCAGCAACAUCAGUAUUUUGAAGGGAAGCCUUUGGAUUUUUUCUAUAUGAAUGUGAAGGUGAACUUGGAUUAUUAGAGGGUAAAAUCUUGGUCCAAUUUGCACACAUGGAUAUGUGCAGAGGGACAGGGAUGGUUUCAUGGGCCUUGACCUCUGGCAUACAAGGAUAGGAGUGUCAAGGAAGAGAUAAAUUUUUAA
rnacentral:lncRNA from 1 species